rnacentral:lncRNA from 1 species
CACUUAUCUGACUAAUUUGAAAGAUUGAAUCUUGAAUGUGGUUGCUUGACGGUUUGGUUUAGCUCAUGCCAAUUAGAUUAGUCAUGUAAUGACUGAUUAGAUGAGAUCUGAAUUAAAUUUCCUUAUAAAUAUUGAGCCUUCGAUCUUCCACUAUUGUAGAUAUGCAGGCAUACUACUAGUAUUGAUUGUUCACGACUGGUCAUAGUGGUUUAGUUAUAUCGAGAAUAUGCAACUAUUCUAUUAGCAAAGAGUUGCUCCAGGGUAAGGAUGGGGUUGGACCCAAUAUU